rnacentral:rRNA from 1 species
UACGUAGGGUGCAAGCGUUGUCCGGAAUUAUUGGGCGUAAAGAGCUCGUAGGCGGUCUGUUGCGUCGACUGUGAAAACCCGGGGCUCAACUCCGGGCCUGCAGUCGAUACGGGCAGACUAGAGUUCGGCAGGGGAGACUGGAAUUCCUGGUGUAGCAGUGAAAUGCGCAGAUAUCAGGAGGAACACCGGUGGCGAAGGCGGGUCUCUGGGCCGAUACUGACGCUGAGGAGCGAAAGCGUGGGGAGCGAACAGG